rnacentral:rRNA from 1 species
UCAAGCUAGAAAGGGCACGCGGUGGAUGCCUCGGCACCAGGGGCCGAAGAAGGGCGUGGCAAGCUGCGAAAAGCCCCGGGGAGCCGCAAGCAGGCUGUGAUCCGGGGAUGCCCGAAUGGGGAAACCUGACGGGGAAAACCCCCGUCACCAGCAGGUGAAUCCAUAGCCUGCUGGGGGGCAGCCCGCGAACUGAAACAUCUUAGUAGCGGGACGAAAAGAAAGCAACCGCGAUGCCCCGAGUAGUGGCGAGCGAAAGGGGCAAAGCCCAAACCGUCACCGUGUAAAAGCCCGCAGGCGUUGCGGUGGCGGUGUAGCGGGACAGCACCAGAGGGGGCUGCGGACCCCUCAGGGAGUUACAAAACCCCGACCUAGCCGAAGUGGCCUGGAACGGCCCGCCGUAGAGGGUGAGAGCCCCGUAGGCGAAAGGUCAGGGGUCUCCCGGGGUGCUGCUCCCAAGUAGCUCGGGCCCCGUGAAAGCCUGAGCGAAUCUGGGGGGACCACCCUCUAAGGCUAAAUACCCCUGGUGACCGAUAGCGCACCAGUACCGUGAGGGAAAGGUGAAAAGAACGGUGGGAAGCCGAGUGAAAUAGAGCCUGAAACCGCGUGCCUACAAGCAGUCGGAGGGCUAUGCCCCGUGACAAUCACGGGGAAUGCCUGACGGCGUGCCUCUUGAAGAAUGAGCCGGGGAGUUGCCGUCGGUGGCGAGGCUAAGCGCCAUCAGGCGCGGAGCCGUAGGGAAACCGAGUCUGAAUAGGGCGUUAGUCGCCGGCGGCAGACCCGAAACCGAGCGAGCUACCCCUGCCCAGGGUGAAGUGCCCUUAACCGGGCACGGAGGCCCGAACCCGUCGGUGUUGCAAAACCGUGGGAUGAGGUGGGGGUAGCGGUGAAACGCCAAUCGAGCUCGGAGAUAGCUGGUUCUCCCCGAAACACGUGUAGGCGUGACGUCGGGCCAUUAAGCGGCGGAGGUAGAGCCACGGAUGGGGGUAGGGGGUUAACAGCCUACCAAACCCCGUCCAACUCCGAAUGCCGCCGCUGGUCCCUUUAUGGGGCUAAGGCCCGGCAGUCGGACUCCGGGGGAUAAGCUCCGGAGUCGCGAGGGAAACAGCCCAGACCGCCAGCUAAGGCCCCCAAGUCCCGGCUUAGUGGGGAACGCGGUGGGGCUCCUAAGACAGCCGGGAGGUUGGCUUAGAAGCAGCCAUCCUUUAAACAGUGCGUAACAGCUGACCGGCCGAGGAGCCCUGCGCGGAAGAUUCAACGGGGCUAAGCCGGGCGCCGAAGCUGCGGGCUUGGCGGAACUGCCUAUAAGGCAUUCCGUCAGGCGGUAGGGGAGCGUUCCGCCUGCUGUGAAGCCCGACCGAAAGGACGGGUGGAGCGGGCGGAAGUGAGAAUCCCGGCACGAGUAGCGAUAAGGCCGGUGAGAAUCCGGCCCGCCGGAAGCCCAAGGUUUCCGACGCAACGCUCGUCGGCGUCGGGUUAGGCGGUCCUAAGCCGAGGCCGUUCGGCGUAGGCGAUGGGCAGCCGGUUGACAUUCCGGCCCCACCGACCUCCGCCAUCAGGGAUGGGGGACGCUCCCAAGGGAGCCUACGCGGCGAUGGUCGUCCGCGGCGACCGUGGAGUGAGCCNUCCNANNGGAUGGNUCGCUUGGCGGGAGNGAGCCGCCUUUGUGCGGCGAAGUGGCGCCCCAAGGGAGCCAAGAAAAGCCCUUACCGAGUCCAUCCCCAAAAGGGAUGGCGCGGAGCGUCGGUGACCGUACCGGAAACCGCCACAGGUGGGCGAGGAGAGUAUCCACAGGCGCGCGGGAUAACCCCNGCCAAGGAACUCUGCAAAAUGUCCCCGUAACUUCGGGAGAAGGGGAGCCGUAGUAGGGUGAAAGGGCCUUCGCGCCCAAGUAGCCCGAGGCGGUCGCAGAUAAGCGGCCGGGGCGACUGUUUAACAAAAACACAGGUUCCUGCCAACCCGAAAGGGGAGGUAUAGGGGCCGACGCCUGGCCAGUGCCCGAAGGUUAAGGGGACGGGUUCGCCGGGNUCUCGCCCGGCAAAGCUCGCGCCCCGAAGCCCGGGUAAACGCCGGCCGUAACCCUGACGGUCCUAAGGUAGCGAAAUUCCUUGUCGGGUAAGUUCCGACCCGCACGAAAGGCGUAACGACUUCGGCGCUGUCUCGGCGGGGGGGCCCGGUGAAACUGUGGUGUCCGUGAAGACGCGGACUACCCGCGGCGGGACGGAAAGACCCCGUGGAGCUUUACUGCAGCCUGGCCUUGGGCUUUGGGGCGGGAUGCAGAGAAUAGGUGGGAGCCUGUGAAGCUCGCCCUCCGGGGCGGGUGGAGGCGCCAGUGGAAUACCACCCUUCCCGCUCUUGGGUCCUAACUUGGUCCCGUGAAUCCGGGCCAAGGACAGGGUCAGGUGGGCAGUUUGGCUGGGGCGGCGGCCUCCUAAAAGGUAACGGAGGCGUCCAAAGGUCCCCUCAGGCGGGAUGGAAAUCCGCCGUGGAGUGCAAAGGCAUAAGGGGGCCUGACUGUGAGGCUCACAAGCCGAGCAGCCGCGAAAGCGGGGCUUAGUGACCCGGCGGUUUGGGAGUGGGACCGCCGCCGAUCAACGGAUAAAAGCUACCCCGGGGAUAACAGGCUAAUGGCGCCCGAGCGUCCCCAGCGACGGCGCCGUUUGGCACCUCGAUGUCGGCUCAUCGCAUCCUGGGGCUGAAGCCGGUCCCAAGGGUUGGGCUGUUCGCCCAUUAAAGCGGUACGUGAGCUGGGUUCAGACCGUCGUGAGACAGGUCGGUCCCUAUCCGCCGCGGGCGCAGGAGGCUUGAGGGGGGCUCGCCCUAGUACGAGAGGACCGGGCGGGACCAGCCUCUGGUGUCCCGGCUGUCGCGCCAGCGGCACGCGCCGGGUAGCCAUGCUGGGUCGGGAUAACCGCUGAAAGCAUCUAAGCGGGAAGCCCACCCCAAGAUAAGGCCUCCCACGGGGGCAACCCGGUAAGGGCCCGGGAAGACUACCCGGUUGAUGGGCCGGAGGUGGAAGCCCAGCAAUGGGUGGAGCUGACCGGUCCCAAUAGCCCGAGGGCUUGACUGU